rfam:Coprobacillus sp. CAG:183 genomic scaffold, scf301
UUUAUAUAGAAAGGGAGCUCGUAUGCGAGCUGAGAGGAAGUAAUCUAACUUCGACCUGUAUAACCUGAUUUGGGUAAUGCCAACGUAGGGAUCUAGCCACUAUUUUUG